GCCCAGAUAGCUCAGCAGGUAGAGCACGCGACUGAAAAUCGCGGUGUCGGCAGUUCGAUUCUGCCUCUGGGCA
rnacentral:tRNA from 2 species